rfam:Salmo salar isolate Sally breed double haploid chromosome ssa03, whole genome shotgun sequence.
UGUAUUCAUUACUGUAAAUCGCUCUGGAUAAGAGCAUCUGCUAAAUGACUAAAA